AGAACACCAUGAAGAAUCAGGUUGUCCAUUCACCCUUCCAUCUGUCCAGCAAACACUCUCAGAGCACAUCCUGCAGUCCUAGCGGUGCACUAGGACAUCGGAAGCAAAGAAGAAGAGGGGAUGGCCAUGACCUAGAGCAGCUGCCAGGCUUGCUGAUGUACUGGAGGAAGGGAAACCAUUCCCAGCGUACUGAUGUCAUGUCAAGGAUGAUCCGUGACCAACGAUAGUUUUUUUUACGUUUUUAAACAAAACUCCUUAGCAACAGUUGCUUGUGAAAUACACAUUUGACAUUUUAACAAUAUGGUAUUGGUUGGAUGCAGAGCCCAGGAAUAUCUCCCCAUAGUUGUCAAAACAAAUUCAACGACAAGAUAAUGAGUGGGUUCAAGUAAUUAAUAAUAUUUUGGUGGAAGUGCCACUAACCAAGUGGUAGAAGACGAGCUGGAAAUGACAGCUGCUAUACAUAAUGAUCAUAUUUUCCCUCCCCUCCCACAAAUCCUAUUAGACUAUUUUAUAAAAGAGAGAUAAGGGGAAAGCAUCUUAGCAGAAAAAAAAAUGCAGAUAUAACAUAUGGAAGAAUUUGUCUUACCUUCAUCCUUUAAUUCCAAUUUAUCCUUUGCCUGGAGAUGGUAGCACAGACACUAUUCCUGUGAGGCUGGGUCCCCCGGGGUUGGGGAAAAUAACUUACCUUGAACAACUCUUCCCAGCUGACUUUCACUUUGCCUUUGGAUGUGCCAUGCACUGUGUAAGGCCCUACUUAUUAUAUAGAUGAUUCUCUCUGCUUUGCUAUUUUUUCCCUUGUGUUAAAGGGACACCUGAUAGUGUCCCACAGGGCUAUGUUUAUAUUCACCUCAUGGCUCCCCACUUAUGUGAAUGAAAGUUAGACACUGCUGUAAGGUUUUUUGGUUCUUGCUUUGUUGGAAAAGCUUUCAGUGACAGUAUCUGUGAUCACUGGUGUAUUAAAUGUCAGGCCUCGAAUAAUUACUCUGCCCUGAGCUGAUAGUAAACCAAGAGACUAAUCCUUUAUUUUUCAUCCCAAGCAAGAAAACUGCUGUUAGGAUUCAACACAUACAAGUCAAACAUGCUCAGACUCAGCCCCAAUGUGUCUCCCACCUUACUGAAAAAAAAAAGAAGGAAGGAAGAAAAAAAAAAAAGAAAAAAA